AGGAAUAAACAUACCACCCAGGAGGGAUGAGAAAAUCAAUGAGAAAAUCAAAUGUAUACAUAUAUUUGAUUUUCUCAUUCCUCCUGGGUGGUAUGUUUAUUCCU